GCUGGGUGUGGUGGCGCAUGCCUGUAAUCCCAGCUACUUGGGAGGCUGAGGCAGGAGAAUCACUUGAACCCAGGAGGUGGAGGCUGCAGUGAGCCGAGAUUGUGCCACUGCACUCCAGCCUGGGCAACAGAGCGAGACUCCGUCUCAA
ensembl:misc_RNA Metazoa_SRP Metazoan signal recognition particle RNA